ACAUGAAGUUUCUUUGGUCAUAGAUUAGGGAGGCAGAAGAAAGCAAAGCAGGAAAAUCUCUGGGACUGAAUACGAAGUAAAAUGAACAGACACAUACAUUUUUUACUAAGGUCUGUAUG